AUUGAACGCUGGCGGCAUGCCUUACACAUGCAAGUCGAACGGUAACAGGUCUUCGGAUGCUGACGAGUGGCGAACGGGCGAGUAAUACAUCGGAACGUGCCUAGUAGUGGGGGAUAACUACUCGAAAGAGUGGCUAAUACCGCAUGAGAUCUACGGAUGAAAGCAGGGGAUCGCAAGACCUUGUGCUACUAGAGCGGCCGAUGGCAGAUUAGGUAGUUGGUGGGAUAAAAGCUUACCAAGCCGACGAUCUGUAGCUGGUCUGAGAGGACGAUCAGCCACACUGGGACUGGGACACGGCCCAGACUCCUACGGGAGGCAGCAGUGGGGAAUUUUGGACAAUGGGCGAAAGCCUGAUCCAGCAAUGCCGCGUGCAGGAUGAAGGCCUUCGGGUUGUAAACUGCUUUUGUACGGAACGAAAAGCCCUGGGUUAAUACCCUGGGGUCAUGACGGUACCGUAAGAAUAAGCACCGGCUAACUACGUGCCAGCAGCCGCCGCGG
rnacentral:rRNA from 1 species